GAUGAACGCUGGCGGCGUGCCUAAUACAUGCAAGUCGAGCGAAGCGGGGACGGGUGCGUAACACGUGGAUAACCUCCUAUAAGACUGGGAUAAAUUCGGGAAACCGGAGCUAAACCGGAUACUUACAGAUGGAUUCACCGUGCAUUAGCGAGUUGGUAAUGUAACGGCUUACCAAGCCAACGAUACAUAGCCGGCCGGAGAGGGUGAUCGGCCACACUGGAACGGAGACACGGGCCAGACUCCUACGGGAUGCAGCAGUGGGGAAUCUUCCACAAUGGGCGAAAGCCGGACGGAGCAACGCCGCGUGAGUGAUGAAGGUCUUCGGAUCGUAAAACUCUGUUAGUAGGGAAGCGGUACCUAAUCAGAAAGCCACGGCUAACUACGUGCCAGCAGCCGCGGUAAUAC
rnacentral:rRNA from 1 species